rnacentral:piRNA from 1 species
UCCACUGGAUGCUGGGCAAUGAACCCA